rnacentral:rRNA from 1 species
UACGGAGGGGGCAAGCGUUAUUCGGAAUUAUUGGGCGUAAAGGGCGCGUAGGCGGCUUUUCAAGUGACGGGUGAAAUCCCUCGGCUUAACCGAGGAACUGCCUGUCAGACUGGAAGGCUUGAGACCGGGAGAGGUGAGUGGAAUUCCCAGCGUAGCGGUGAAAUGCGUAGAUAUUGGGAGGAACACCAGUGGCGAAGGCGGCUCACUGGACCGGAACUGACGCUGAGGCGCGAAAGCGUGGGGAGCAAACAGG